rnacentral:rRNA from 1 species
AUUGAACGCUGGCGGCAUGCUUUACACAUGCAAGUCGAACGGCAGCGCGCGUUUCGGUCUGGCGGCGAGUGGCGCACGGGUGUGAAUUACAGGGGAACAUCCUGAGCUGUGGGGGAUAGCACCGCGAGAGCCGGAUUAAUACCACAUACUAUGAGAGGGUGAACGCGGGGGGGCGAAGGAACUUGUGCCCUUGGGGCGGUGGAUGUCGGAUUAGCUAGUUGGUGGGGUAAAGGGUUACCAAGGCGACGAUCCGUAGCUGGUCUGAGAGGACGACCAGCCACACUGGGACUGAGACACGGCCCAGACUCCUACGGGAGGCAGCAGUGGGGAAUUUUGGACAAUGGGGGCAACCCUGAUCCAGCCAUGCCGCGUGCGGGAAGAAGGCCUUCGGGUUGUAAACCGCUUUUGUUCGGGAAGAAAUGCUCUGGGCUAAUACCCCGCGGGAAUGACGGUACCGGAAGAAUAAGCACCGGCUAACUACGUG